rnacentral:sRNA from 1 species
UCCAUGAUGUCUGACCCAGGUGCUGU